AUUUUCCAUCUUCAAAAAGAAAAAAAAUAGAACCAUAUGGAUGAAAAAGUUCGGGGUUAGCCUUGGCUAUAGGUGGACCAAAACCGAUUAACCAUACAUUUGGCCACCAACCCCGGAUCACUGCAAACGAAAAAGUAUGGGGAUGCUCCCCGGCAUUGAAUAUGUAUCACUAUUAACGUCACCAGAUUGAAAUGUACCGGCUAGAUGAAGACUAUUUGAUCAGCUAGUUACUUCUAUCGAAUAAAGUGGCCAAAACCAACUCAUUAUAGGUCAUGAUAUAGUAAGCAGGAAGUAUUGGAAUAUGUGGAGAGAAAACUGUGAAAACUGCUUUUUCUGUUUAUAGUUGGUUUAUAGAGGAAGUAUUAGGAAACUGGGGCACAACAAUAAUACGUGUUCCACAACUUUCAGCGCGGGUGUGUCUUCUUUUCCUGCUUGAGAUAGCGCUAUGUCACUGUUCCUCAUUUGAAGAUUUGUUUUGAUCAAAAAUAUGUUCAACUCUUUUUCACCGGCUUUCUCUUUUUAUAUUUAAUACAUAUUUGUUCCAAUACUCGGUGCGUCUUCUUAGCCGCCGAAGUGAGAUUUCAGAAUCAUCAACGUGAAAGGGUAAAAACAGUUAGGAUAGUAUAUAUGUAUAUAUAAAUUUAAUUACAUACUUCAAUAAGGAAUGGUAUAGAUUUUUCGUGGAUAAUA
rnacentral:sRNA from 20 species